AGAAAAUGUUUCGCUUAUUAAAGUUUAAAUAUCCUCAAUAUCAACUUGAAUUUAUAUACUUAGGUACUGCACAGAAAGCACCCUGGUAUGUUCUGUGAGGUACUGUAUAAUAAUCUUAGGGUACUGUUAUGUUAGUGUCAUUGUGACAUUAUGUUUAUGUGAUGUAACAUAAAAAUUUGAGGUUAGAUUGACUUACUUUCUGGUUAGUGAUGGAAAUAAGGACAUUAGUUCAAUUUAAAAUAUGUCACAUAAUUUACACAAAGAAAGCUAAAACUAAUUAGGCAAUCUAAUAAAGUAGCCAAAGUCAAAAUAACGGCGGUGAGAUAUGGUAAACGAUCGCACAUUGAAAAGCCUUACUUAGUUCCAGAGGAAACUCAACUAAUAGACGAUGAUGUUGAUUUGAAUGAAAUUCUACAAAAAUUUUACAAAUUUUUGAAACAAACAAAUAAAUAACUGUUCAUUAAGAUGAUUUUUAUACCAAAUUUAUCAAUAAAAAAGGCAAUAUAGCUUAGA